rnacentral:rRNA from 1 species
UACGGAGGAUGCGAGCGUUAUCCGGAUUUAUUGGGUUUAAAGGGUGCGUAGGCGGAUUUUUAAGUCAGCGGUAAAAUGUCCGAGCUCAACCCGGGCCGGCCGUUGAAACUGGGGAUCUUGAGUGGGCGAGAAGUAUGCGGAAUGCGUGGUGUAGCGGUGAAAUGCAUAGAUAUCACGCAGAACUCCGAUUGCGAAGGCAGCAUACCGGCGCCCGACUGACGCUGAGGCACGAAAGCGUGGGGAUCGAACAGG